UACCCUCUAGUGGGGAAUACCGCUGGGAAACCGGCGACAAUACCGCAUAAGCUCGAGAGAGGAAAGCAGCAAUGCGCUGGAGGAGGAGUCCGCGGUCGAUUAGGCCCCCGGCAGGGUAAAACGCCUACCAAGACUGUGAUCGAUAGCCGGCCUGAGAGGGCACACGGCCACACUGGGACUGGAACACGGCCCAGACUCCUACGGGAGGCAGCAGUGAGGAAUUUUGCGCAAUGGGGGCAACCCUGACGCAGCAACGCCGCGUGAGUGAUGAAGGCCGNNAGGUUGUAAAGCUCUGUCGCCCCGGAAGAACGUACCGACCAGGAAAUGGGUUGAAUCCGACGGGCANGGGACAGGACGCACGCGCGAACCCCCCGCCACCCCCCGCGGCGCAACCCGGGGG
rnacentral:rRNA from 1 species